CUGUCAUGGUCAAGACAUUGACCUGCCAGACCUCUCGGAUACAACUGUAGCUGUUCUCACUGUCUCGAAUGAUACAGUCUCCCUUGUGAAGUUUGGUCCUGCAAUACAUUCUAUAGUUCUUGAGGGAGAGAUUGUGAAAGUUGUAAUGGGUUUGGAUGACCUGAAGCGGUUACCUCCGAGACUGCUUAGCCUUAAAAAUUAUCUGAUGAUGGAUGAGUAAGCAGUCUGCUUAAAAUAUGUCGUUGUUACUACCAGCAUGGUGAUACUCAAGCAACCAUUUCGUCUUUGUUUUUUUGUUUUCGCUUUUUUAUUUAUGUUGGCCUAUUAUUGUUGGCCUAUUAUUUUUGGAUCGGCCUAUUAUGUUGGCCAAUUUUUCGUUUUUUGUGGAUACAGAGAAGCCGAUGUUUCAGAAGGCAGCUUUGAACAGACCUGCAGAUUUGUAAUUGUUUUUGACUUGAUCAUUUCAGUGUUUGGCUUGAGGUCCCAGAGUUUCGUACGGAAAUGCUUUGGUCUACCUUGAAGUCACUGGGAACUAAAAGAUCUUUUACGGUUUUAUUUGCUGAAUAAAUAAAACCGUAUUUAUUCAGCAUUUUGAUUGAAAAUGUGGUUGUUAUUUAUUUUAUUUUCUGUAUUAACCCCAUUGCUGGGGACAUUGUUCUGAAUUCUAAUGGAAUUCAUAAAUAAAUGGAAUCUGCAGUAAAA